CACUUCGGUCAACGUUCUGUUUGGCCUAGAGGUUUGCCAUUGGAAAAUGUGGGUGAGCUUGGACAUGAAGAGUUUUACACUGAGAUUUUUGGUGGACGGCAGUUUAUCCAGCAAGGGAUCUCGAAUGGUUUACCUGAUGUGGAUUCAGUAUUUUAUUUUACUAGGAAGUCAGGGCUUGAAGCUUAUAUCCAUUUCGGGCAACGUUCCGUUUGGCCUAGAGGUUUGCCAUUGGAAAAUGUGGGUGAGAUUGGACAUGAGGAGUUUUACACUGAGAUUUUUGGUGGAAGGCAGUUUAUCCAGCAAGGGAUCUCGAAUGGUUUACCGGAUGUGGAUUCAGUGUUUUAUUUUACUAGGAAGUCAGGGCUUGAAGCGUUUGAUAUUAGAUUCGAUGAGCAUGCACCAAAAGUGGCGUUGCCCCAGGG
rnacentral:lncRNA from 1 species